rnacentral:misc_RNA from 1 species
CAACGAGAUUGCAGCCGGCGAGCUCCCGUCUCGCGUACACGUUCACCUCCCUGUCGAUGGCGCGCGACCAAAUAAUAAUAUCGAGACUCAGCGAUAUAUGAGAUAUUUCCCGACUCGCGACCAUUCAGCUCAACUUUUCGCUGUUGAUACGCGUCUCUCAAAAUAGUUGCUGGUUGCUACCUAAUGUUUUCGUUGCCAGGCAGUAACAAAAGUUGUUGUUUGCUGUCUGUUUCCCGUUGCAUCGGCAAGGAUGAAAGAGGUGUAAGAAACAGACGGCGACAGGAUGCAACAGAAACAAACGUUUCCUCGAUCGUUGAAAUCCUCUGACGCUAAAAAUAUCGUUAUAAAGAAGUACAUCACGCCACAGAAAAUAAAUGGAAGAGACGAUGAAGCCUUUAAG